UAGAGUUCAGGGAUUAUGACUUAUUAAUUUAUGUAUUUCCAACACGUAGUCAAUGGAGGGUGUGGGAAGAGAAAGAAGAAGGAACUCACUUUGAUUGAAUAUCUAUUAUAUACCAGAUAUUGUAUCAGAUGCCUUUGAAAUGUUCUUUUUUAUUCUAACAAAUAAAAUUAAUUCUAGGUACUGUGAUUUCCAUUUUACUGACAAAGAAACUGAGGCUCAAAGUGGUGGAGGAACUUUUCUAAGGUUGUUCAGUUAUGAAGUGACUGAAUUGGAAAUGUGUGUCUGGCUGUAAAAAACACCCUUCUCUUUUGCACUGUAGCCUCAAUUUAGUUUUAGUGAAUGAAUGGAGGUUUUAGUCAACAGUGAAGAUGGAUUGCCACUGAGCUGCCUGGUAGGGGAGAAGGAAGUUGGCUUUCUUCUGUCCCCUGGAGUGAAGUUUUUAGUAAUCUAGUGGUUUAUAAAAUGUAAACUGUCCCUGGAUAAGCAUCCCAUUAAAAGGAUAUUUUGGAUAAUAUUAGGCAAUUCAUAUAUUCAUCAUAUAUCUGAUAGAUGUUUUUAUUGGUAAUUUGACAUAUUCAUACCUUACAAUAGUACUGGACAGCGUCUAACUUCCUUAAGGAUUAAAAACAGCUUAAUUCUCUGAGAUGAGGAAAACUAUAUCCCUAUGAUGACAUUAAAUAAUGAGGAAGACCAAUUACAGGAAAAAUUUUGUAAAAGAAAACAUUUUGACCAUCCUUACAUUUCAAAUUUCAUGUUUGAACUUUUCCAUUUAGAAGGUACUGGUGACUCUGGUCAAAACUUGGAAGGAUCUGUGGGAGUUACCUUAAAGAAACAUCUAUAAUAUAUUUCUGCU
rnacentral:lncRNA from 1 species